rnacentral:lncRNA from 1 species
UAAUUAUCAGUUUACAGUAGCAGAGAAUAUUGUUAGAAAUUUAGAAUUAUACGGAAUGAAGAUCGUGAAGCGACACUUCCCGUUUUGCUGCACGAUUCCUAAUCUAAUAGUCGGAACUCCCUCUCAUCUAUAAAGGUUUUUAUUCCCUGAUCUUUUAAAUAAAGCCUUCUAUGCUCCAUUGAGAUCUUUUUUUGACUGAACAGCCGCUUUCCUAGUAAAUGCAUUCCAUUCAGACGAUUCGUGGCCAAGUUUUAUUUUAACCUAUUGAAUUAUGACCAUGUAUACACCAUCAGUUAAGUAUAUAAUUUUCGAGAGAUUUAUUUUUUAUGGAUUUUUGAAGUGUAGAUACUAUCAUAUUAUAAAUAAUGUAGCACAAUGAUAUGGCAAAACGAGGGACCACGUGCAUCACCAAAGGCAAAAAUACUCGAUUGAGAUAAGGGUCGAUAUUGCGGUGAAAGAGUCUUCAGUGGUGCAAAUGUUGAACGCAGAGGCAAAACAGACCUGAUCAACCUUUGAUGAGUAAUUUGGGCCAAUAGAAGUUCAUUCUGUAGCAUAAGAGGUUGAGUCGGAUGUAUAAGGGAGCAUGAGUGAGUGCUCUGGUGCUGUAUAGUGCAUUUGGAUACUUUGUGUAUGGCUAACUAUUAACCCUUGUAAUGAAGGAGUGACAUGCUAUACGAAGAAGCCAUGUUUUCUACUGUUUUGAGAGUUAUUCCAAUACUCAUCCAGGUUUUUAGUCAAAUAAUUAUUCUACAUGAAUCACCAUUAUCGUGUCCCGUGACGGUGUCGAAGGACCUGUGUAAUAUCCAUUAGAUUUUUGAC